rnacentral:rRNA from 1 species
GAUGAACGCUGGCGGCGUGCCUAAUACAUGCCAGUCGAGCGAACAGACGAGGAGCUUGCUCCUCUGACGUUAGCGGCGGACGGGUGAGUAACACGUGGAUAACCUACCUAUAAGACUGGGAUAACUUCGGGAAACCGGAGCUAAUACCGGAUAAUAUAUUGAACCGCAUGGUUCAAUAGUGAAAGACGGUUUUGCUGUCACUUAUAGAUGGAUCCGCGCCGCAUUAGCUAGUUGGUAAGGUAACGGCUUACCAAGGCAGCGAUGCGUAGCCGACCUGAGAGGGUGAUCGGCCACACUGGAACUGAGACACGGUCCAGACUCCUACGGGAGGCAGCAGUAGGGAAUCUUCCGCAAUGGGCGAAAGCCUGACGGAGCAACGCCGCGUGAGUGAUGAAGGUCUUCGGAUCGUAAAACUCUGUUAUUAGGGAAGAACAAAUGUGUAAGUAACUAUGCACGUCUUGACGGUACCUAAUCAGAAAGCCACGGCUAACUACGUG